AUGAAGAGAAAGCAAGAAGUGAAGAAAAGUAAAAGUGGAACUCUUGCAAUUAAAAUAAUCUCCCUCCUUUACCGCUCCAAGGAGUCAGAAAUACCGAGAAACCUGUUGCUGAGAUCCCAUCUACUGACUUUUGUGGAGAGCUAUGCAUCAGUUCCAUAGAGGUGAUCAAGACAGGGUGAGGGAGUAAAACGUGUGGCCUUCCGCUUCUGGCUACAACAGAAGGUUGCAGGUGGUGGGCGUGAAGAGAUGGGAGAGAGACAAUUUCCAGGGAGUUGAGUUUCUGCAAAAUCGGACUGUGGCAUACCCCGAACCAUCGAAUAUUUCAUAUCGUGCCCCAAGGAACACGUGGCCAUGGCCCUGGGCUAGUUUUUGGCGAAUAGGAAGGGCAGUUUUUCUCUAAUUCAUCUCAAUGAAACCUCAAGACUUUUUAUUCCCGAGAAUGACUGGAAAGGAGGGUGGGGGGUGGGGGAGUAGGUAACGUGCUCAACUAUAAGAAUAUUUUCUGUGUCCUCUUAAUCUUGGCAUUAUAAAAUAAAUUUAAUUCCUCGUG
rnacentral:lncRNA from 1 species